rnacentral:lncRNA from 1 species
ACUUCAGAAGCUGCUCUCUAUGCCGUCUGGUAAAAUACUCUUAAGGAUUCUGAGGCAAGAGGUAGGCUUGAACAGCCUCAUGUCUUGUGAGUUGUGACUGGUUUGUAUCCAGAUCACUUGCAUAAUAAACAAAAGCAAGUAUUUGUUGGAUCAGUGAGCAACACUCUGAGCUUGAAGAACCAGAAGCGCAUGCCUAGAGUAUGUUAGAGCAGUGUUGGAAAUGACACUGUUAGUCACUGUGUGUGCUGCUGUUGUGUAUUUAUUGUAGUAAUAGAAGGCUUAGAGCAAGGAAGAAAUGCUCUAGAGAAACCAAAUAGAAACAAGAAAGAAAGUAAUCACACAUUGCCUAAAGCUAUUGCCUUGAUGCUAGAGAAUUCCCUUGCUUUGGUUUGGCUGAAUCCUAGAAGCACCAUUCUUACCAUUCUCACAUUUGAAGGUCUGUUAAUCCUCAUGGAAUUGCUAGUGACACAUAGGUGUGAAACAGUUGACUAUGAAAAGUAGAAUAGUUUCCUGUCAACCUAGAGGCUGUUCUUUUAUAGAGCAAAGUGUGUGACAUUUCAUAGUCAUAACCUUUUCAUUGCUGGUCUUGUCAGCAUGUCUUUAGUAGAUAUAUGUAAGUUUCAUAUUCAAUGACACGUUUUGCUUAAAAUAUGAGUUUUCCCUAGCCACAGAGAGAUCCGUCUGGUGCCAGUGCUCCAGCACUGUGGCAUGUGUACCACACCUGCUCCAUCUUCCUUAGCAGGGAGGCGGACUGCACUUAGCAAACAAACACCAGGGCAUACAUUGCUGGUCUCCCUUUAAUAGACGGUGUUUCAGAUAGAGCAGCGAAGGGAGAAAAUGCUGAGGCCAAAACAAUGCUGAGCACAUAUAGCACACACACAGACCGCACACGCACGAACACACACACACAUACACACAAACACACACAAAAAUGGGUCGGAACACACAUGACUACCGGUUUCCCACUGCUUUUGGAGGGCUGCAACAUUCUUCAGCAGUUUGUCUCUUUGUUCUAGUGAACAAGAUUUUAUCCAUGCUUUAUAUGCCUCUUAGCUGUACAAACAAAGGGUUUAUUUUGUCUUAGUUUUUAACACUGCACUUUUAAUGUUUUUGUAACAACUUAAAUUUAAAAUGCAGCAUUUUGGCAUUUUCCCAGUAGUGAAUUAAUCACUUGAAAGCAGAUUUUUGUGGCGGAAAUAAAUGUGUAUAUAUAAAACCUUUUAUGUUCACAGCGGCAUUAGCCUAGGAAUACAUUUUAUUUGGUUUCUCCAAGUUUCAUAGCUAAAGCUAGAAUUUGAUUUUAAAUGCUAACUUAUGUCUUAGUUUGUACUGUUUGGAAGAAGCUUAUCUAAGUAUUACUGAUAACAAAGGAUUCAACUUCAAGUAAAGGACAAGCAUCUUUUAAAAUCCACUUAGCAUGUUAUGUUUAGGUGCGUAUCUGGCGACUGUAGAGAUGGGUAGGGAUUACAAACUUAGCACUCACUGAUGGAAGGUAGGAUUUAGGAGGCAUUUGCAGUGGAGCAGUCAUGAGUACGUUCAUCUCUUCAGCCUCACCUCCACAAAUCUGUAGGGUUAGCACUGUUGCAUGGCUGGCUGGCCCUUAGCACACGUGCUCGGAAGAUCUGCAUCUGCAGCUAGACAGCGGGCAGGUCUGCUGACUCGUAGACAGAUCUGAGGACAGUUUUCAUCUCGAUUGAAUGUUACCUCCUUCUCUAGUAAGUUUUUGUGAAAGAUUUCAGACUAUUAAAAUGACUUCUUAAGGAGUAGCUACUACCUUACCCCCUCCUCUCAGUCUCCAUCCAAACCCACUCUCACGGCUACUCCACUAACGCUGUGCUUUGCUUGUAAAGUAACACCAUGCAGUUGUGCGCAACCCAAGUAUCAAAAGCAGCUACGCGGCUCUGAAAGGUGAUUGUGAUAGGUUCUGCUUCUCAUCUGCAGAUACAAUGCAGCAACUCCAAAGUAUUAAGAUUACAGUAAAGCUGAAGACGCACCUUUGCCCUGGUUAGCAACGCAAAACCUGUGUCGUCGUAAAUGCCAAAGUCUUAGUGUGUAAAUGUCUGUACACCGUCACAGCGAAUGAGCUCACUGCUAAUGGCCGAGUUGCUUAUUUUCAUGAAUAAAGAUUAGCAAGAAACUUUUAAACCAUCUUUUUAAAAAAUGUCCUAGUUUGUUAUAUUUUAGGCAUGAAGAACUAGCUUGGCCUACUGAAGAAAUAAAAGAUUUAAG